AAUAGAUACCCGGGUAGUCCACGCCGUAAACGAUGAGUGCUAAGUGUUAGAGGGUUUCCGCCCUUUAGUGCUGAAGUUAACGCAUUAAGCACUCCGCCUGGGGAGUACGGCCGCAAGGCUGAAACUCAAAGGAAUUGACGGGGGCCCGCACAAGCGGUGGAGCAUGUGGUUUAAUUCGAAGCAACGCGAAGAACCUUACCAGGUCUUGACAUCCUCUGACAACCCUAGAGAUAGGGCUUCUCCUUCGGGAGCAGAGUGACAGGUGGUGCAUGGUUGUCGUCAGCUCGUGUCGUGAGAUGUUGGGUUAAGUCCCGCAACGAGCGCAACCCUUGAUCUUAGUUGCCAUCAUUCAGUUGGGCACUCUAAGGUGACUGCCGGUGACAAACCGGAGGAAGGUGGGGAUGACGUCAAAUCAUCAUGCCCCUUAUGACCUGGGCUACACACGUGCUACAAUGGACGGUACAAAGAGCUGCAAGACCGCGAGGUGGAGCUAAUUUCAUAAAACCGUUCUCAGUUCGGAUUGUAGG
rnacentral:rRNA from 1 species